GGAGGGCUGGCGCACAUAUCUUGCCUCCUAGAAACACAAUGCAAGACUCUGUAUGAAACUGAAUCUGCUGGAGCAUAACAUUCAUAAACAAGGUGAAAAUGUUGGCACUGGAGCACUGCUGCUUAGGCCUGUAAGUAGAACUGUAGCGACAAAUCUUUCUCUUGCUUCAAUGUGCUUUAUCUUAGUACAUA